rnacentral:rRNA from 1 species
AGUGAACGCUGGCGGUAGGCCUAACACAUGCAAGUCGAACGGCAGCACAGUAAGAGCUUGCUCUUACGGGUGGCGAGUGGCGGACGGGUGAGGAAUACAUCGGAAUCUACUUUUUCGUGGGGGAUAACGUAGGGAAACUUACGCUAAUACCGCAUACGACCUACGGUUGAAAGCAGGGGAUCUUCGGACCUUGCGCGAUUGAAUGAGCCGAUGUCGGAUUAGCUAGUUGGAGGGGUAAAGGCCCACCAAGGCGACGAUCCGUAGCUGGUCUGGGAGGAUGAUCAGCCACACUGGAACGGAGACACGGUCCAGACUCCUACGGGAGGCAGCAGUGGGGAAUAUUGGACAAUGGGCGCAAGCCUGAUCCAGCCAUACCGCGUGGGUGAAGAAGGCCUUCGGGUUGUAAAGUCCUUUUGUUGGGAAAGAAAAGCAGCAGGUUAAUACCCCGCUGUUCUGACGGUACCCAAAGAAUAAGCACCGGCUAACUUCGUG